rnacentral:lncRNA from 1 species
CGAUGUAAAGGACCAGGUCUUAUAGGAAAGAGGGAGGAAAUAACUAUAAGUAAACGAGAAGAUAUUAUAACCUGUAUUGAAUGCUGCAGCAAUGACUUUUGUAAUAACAAAGGAUGUGGUCAGCCGGAGUUACCAACGGAUCAGAGAGGACUAUACUGCUACAGCUGUGCUAGUACGUUAGACCCAAAGAGUUGCAACAAGGUUUCCGUUUGUUCACCCGAGCAGACUUGUCUUAUUAAACUGAAUACAGCUUUCCUUGAUCAAAACAAUCCCGUCUACACCCAGAGUUGCUCUCCAAAAUCGUGCAGCGAUUCUGUAGCUUCGCCAUGUCAGCCAUCUUGUUGCAACACGGACUUUUGUAACGAUAACUUUGACUGUAUUACUACACCUGGACCAUGGACUACCACACCAACCUCGACCAAACAUGACGUCACAUCUAAACAACCUGUUCAAAUUUCAACUACCAUAUCUAAACAACUGACAACUGCGGUACACAAUGCUG